UACGUAGGGCGCAAGCGUUGUCCGGAAUUAUUGGGCGUAAAGAGCUCGUAGGCGGUCUGUCGCGUCUGCCGUGAAAACCCGAGGCUUAACCUCGGGCUGGCGGUGGAUACGGGCAGACUAGAGGUAGGUAGGGGAGAAUGGAAUUCCCGGUGUAGCGGUGAAAUGCGCAGAUAUCAGGAGGAACACCGGUGGCGAAGGCGGGUCUCUGGGCCGAUACUGACGCUGAGGAGCGAAAGCGUGGGGGAGCGAACAGG
rnacentral:rRNA from 1 species